rnacentral:rRNA from 1 species
UGCAAGUCGAGCGGAUGACGGGAGCUUGCUCCUUGAUUCAGCGGCGGACGGGUGAGUAAUGCCUAGGAAUCUGCCUGGUAGUGGGGGACAACGUUUCGAAAGGAACGCUAAUACCGCAUACGUCCUACGGGAGAAAGCAGGGGACCUUCGGGCCUUGCGCUAUCAGAUGAGCCUAGGUCGGAUUAGCUAGUUGGUGGGGUAAUGGCUCACCAAGGCGACGAUCCGUAACUGGUCUGAGAGGAUGAUCAGUCACACUGGAACUGAGACACGGUCCAGACUCCUACGGGAGGCAGCAGUGGGGAAUAUUGGACAAUGGGCGAAAGCCUGAUCCAGCCAUGCCGCGUGUGUGAAGAAGGUCUUCGGAUUGUAAAGCACUUUAAGUUGGGAGGAAGGGCAGUAAGCUAAUACCUUGCUGUUUUGACGUUACCGACAGAAUAAGCACCGGCUAACUCUGUGCCAGCAGCCGCGGUAAUACAGAGGGUGCAAGCGUUAAUCGGAAUUACUGGGCGUAAAGCGCGCGUAUGUGGUUCGUUAAGUUGGAUGUGAUAGCCCCGGGCUCAACCUGGGAACUGCAUCCAAAACUGGCGAGCUAUAGUACGGUAGAGGGUGGUGGAAUUUCCUGUGUAGCGGUGAAAUGCGUACAUAUAGGAAGGAACACCAGUGGCGAAGGCGACCACCUGGACUGAUACUGACACUGAGGUGCGAAAGCGUGGGGAGCAUACAGGAUUAGAUACCCUGGUAGUCCACGCCGUAGACGAUGUCAACUAGCCGUUGGAAUCCUUGAGAUUUUAGUGGCGCAGCUAACGCAUUAUGUUGACCGCCUGGGGAGUACGG